GGGAAGAGAUGUUUGUGCAUGCAUCUGCAGCACUGGGCUGUGUGAAAGUUUUCCUUGUGGAAAAACUCCAACAUUAGUGUGGAUGGUGGUUUCUUUAAGUGCAAUUACGGUGCAGCAUAAUUCUCAUCAUCACCCUGACUAUAGCUGAGUGUCUUAGCAGUUGCACAGAGCAAUUCUGUCCUACAGCUUGGCAACAUGAAAGAUGCACAAACGUGGAGCUGUUUCAUGAUCUGUGGAACUAAUAAUCUAGUUUCUUACUGAUUUGUGUUUUCUCUUUGCAUCUUUAUGGAAACAGGUUGGAAAGACAGUCCUUUUUGGAUGCUGACAUAUAAAGCUCCAUAAUCUUUACUUUCUGGUAGAAGAAAGGAGGCCAAAGAAAAUGCCUUAAACAGUCUCUCUGAUUAAAUUAAUAUAGGGAUGUUGUGCAGGGAUCGAUAAUAACUUGAAAUAUGGCUUAGCCGCAUUAUCAAGCUUUUAACUUUUCUAAGGUUUAAUUUUAUAGUUACUGUGGCUGUGCAAUGGCAUGUCAUGAUUUGCUUUUUGUGUGUUUACUGGAUGUGAAAGAGAUGCGCUUCCUCCCAGUAGCAUGCGCCAGCUCUGCUCCCUGCUGGCUUGCUUUUGCACUGACCCUGACUGGAGAGAGCUGUCUGAAUUCUAAACAGGGGGUGUAAAUCAGGUUGUUUAAGCUUGUCUUGCUGAGAGCAGUGCAUUGCCAAUGACACAAGCAGCAAAGCAGUGAAUUGUGUUAAAGGAGAAGUAAUGUGUGACUGCCUGAGACUGGUAUGUGCUUCAGGACUUUUAUUCCCUUAAUGUGAGUGUAGAAUGACUUGUCUCACUAGACUGUAAACCCUCAAUGAGUAGUCCAUUGCUUUAGGGCUACAGAUGUCGAAUGUUAAAGUAUGCCUUGGUGAAACAUUGGGGUUUUUCUUUUACAUGUCACUUAAAUGACAAACACAGAAUGGCACUCAGAGGGGGUAUGCACAUACUCUUAUAAAGGAAAAGUAAAAUACUGGGUGUUUUUAUUUCUGUCACAGUGGAAGGUGGGUAAGUAGACCUUUGUGCCAGGAUUAGUGCCUUUAAAUUAUGACAUUACAGGCUUUAUUCUGUUAAAGGCAACAUCUAUCAUUGUGAUCGUUUUGCAGUGCUUCAAUAAAGUGUUGUUGAAAAC
rnacentral:lncRNA from 1 species